rnacentral:rRNA from 1 species
GACGAACGCUGGCGGCGGGCUUAACACAUGCAAGUCGAACGGAAAGGCCCUGCUUUUGUGGGGUGCUCGAGUGGCGAACGGGUGAGUAACACGUGAGUAACCUGCCCUUGACUUUGGGAUAGCUUCAGGAAACUGGGGCUAAUACCGGAUAGGAUCUCCUGCUGCGUGGUGGGGGUUGGAAAGUUUCUGCGGGUGGGGAUGGACGCGCGGCUUAUCAGCUUGUUGGUUGGGUAGUGGCUUGCCAAGGCUUUGACGGGUAGGCGGCCUGAGAGGGUGACCGGCCACCUGGGGACUGCGAUACGGCCCAGAGUCCUAUGGGAGGCAGCAGUGGGGAAUAUUGCACAAUGGGAGGAAGCCUGAUGCAGCAACGCCGCGUGCGGGAUGACGGCCUUCGGGUUGUAAACAGCUUUAGCCUGUGACGAAGCGUGAGUGACGGUAAUGGGUAAAGAAGCACCGGCUAACUACGUG